AUUGGACGCUGGCGGCAUGCUUUACACAUGCAAGUCGAACGGCAGCACGGGCUUCGGCCUGGUGGCGAGUGGCGAACGGGUGAGUAAUAUAUCGGAACGUACCCAGAAGUGGGGGAUAACGUAGCGAAAGUUACGCUAAUACCGCAUACGAUCUAUGGAUGAAAGCAGGGGACCGCAAGGCCUUGUGCUCCUGGAGCGGCCGAUAUCUGAUUAGCUAGUUGGUGAGGUAAAGGCUCACCAAGGCGACGAUCAGUAGCUGGUCUGAGAGGACGACCAGCCACACUGGAACUGAGACACGGUCCAGACUCCUACGGGAGGCAGCAGUGGGGAAUUUUGGACAAUGGGCGCAAGCCUGAUCCAGCAAUGCCGCGUGAGUGAAGAAGGCCUUCGGGUUGUAAAGCUCUUUUGUCAGGGAAGAAACGGUAGAGGCUAAUAUCCUUUGCUAAUGACGGUACCUGAAGAAUAAGCACCGGCUAACUACGUG
rnacentral:rRNA from 1 species